rnacentral:rRNA from 1 species
CCUACGGGAGGCAGCAGUCGAGAAUCAUUCACAAUGGGGGAAACCCUGAUGGUGCGACGCCGCGUGGGGGAAUGAAGGUCUUCGGAUUGUAAACCCCUGUCAUGUGGGAGCAAAUUAAAAAGAUAGUACCACAAGAGGAAGAGACGGCUAACUCUGUGCCAGCAGCCGCGGUAAUACAGAGGUCUCAAGCGUUGUUCGGAACCACUGGGCGUAAAGCGUGCGUAGGCUGUUUCGUAAGUCGUGUGUGAAAGGCGCGGGCUCAACCCGCGGACGGCACAUGAUACUGCGAGACUAGAGUGAUGGGGGGGGAACCGGAAUUCUCGGUGUAGCAGUGAAAUGCGUAGAUAUCGAGAGGAACACUCGUGGCGAAGGCGGGUUCCUGGACAUUAACUGACGCUGAGGCACGAAGGUCAGGGGAGCGAAAGGGAUUAGAUACCCUGGUAGUC